AAUUCUCGCUUAACUUUUCAAAAGGUCCUACACGCUUAGAUCAGAUUACCCAAAUGUAGGUACUUCAUUCACCCAUAUUUGGGUAUGUGAUGCAUCACCUAUAUUAUUGGUAAAAUUUACCGAGAAAGUUGGUAAAAUUCACUCAAAUUGUGAAAGAAGUAAUAUUACCUAUAUAUGAGUGAUUUCAUUUUACCCAUAUUUGGAUGAAAAAUAAAAAUUUGAAACCACUGUCCACCAUCGCCGCCAUAACAUCUAUAAGUGCAAUCAAGAGAAGUAUUUAUGUUCAGAACUAGAUUAAUUAACAACAAUUAUUGUUGUUUAAAUUUUGAUGAGUGCAUCGAGGAGUGCAUUAUUAUAUACCUUGAUUUUUCCAGCGUCUGAUCAACUGAAUGUCAACAUGUCCAGAUCCGUAUAUUUCCAAACUAGGACUGGAAUAUCGACUGAAACAACAGAUUAGUUAGCCGGAACGGAUUAGGAUCCGAUUAGGACCGGCUUUCAAUCGGAUUGAUCGUUGAAUUUUUUCGUUGCAAUUUCUAUCCGUCGGAUAGGAAUUACUUCCGGGGUCAUCAACUAAACGGAAGUGAUCUUGAUAUGAUGGAUUGAAUGAUUAUGCCCAUUGAUCUCCGGGCAGAAAGGGGCGUGAAAUGAAAUGAAAUUCCUCACCAAAGCUAAAGUAGCCAUCGUUAAGACAUCGACUGAUAGUUGGUGGAUAUUUGUUGCACCUCAAGUGUUAAGCCGAUUCCAUGGACAAUUCACUAUGGUCCACAUUUGUGAUAGCCACGUAACCUUGAUGUUCUUUUCGUUGUAUCGGAAGCAGGAACUGGGACUUGCUUUGGAAAGCAAAACGCGAAUCUCGUUGGCAGUGAGUGACACCGAGCCGUCGAUUUUAUAUAUAGUAUUCGAGGACGUCAACGAUUUAAAAUCCAAUAUGUGUUUCUAUGUAAUGUAUUAAAAACACAAAUUUGUAUGUAUGGCCAUAUGGCGUAUUAGGAACAGUUAAGAAAAAUUGUCAGUGGGUGAAUGAAUGAUGACCAGUGAGUGAAUGAAUGAUGAUUUCAGCUAUAGCUGAAAUCGUGUUUAUGUGAACCAUAGAUUGUUAAUAAGAACCUGAGUUAUGAAACCAAAUAAAAUUA